rnacentral:lncRNA from 1 species
GCCGCCCGAUCCUAGCGCGGAGCUGCGAGCCUGACCGGCCGCGUCUGGCAUGGUCAGAGAAAGAAUUUUCUUUUCCCAACUCCGGCUUUUGGUUUUGUGUGUCCACCUUGCGCAACUCCGGAGCCAGCCGACCCCACAUGGAUUCUCAACAGGUGGCCGGCACAUCUUCUGAGCCUCGCUCUCUCAUCUGAAAGUGGAGUGUAAGUCCAAGAAGAUUCAUUUAGACAAAGAAGGUGGAAAAAAAGGACUUUCUGGGCCAGCAAGUCGGAUGACCACCCUCCAAGGGGCAGAGGAGGGCCCAUUUUGUGAAGAAGAAAUCAACUACCCGGAAAACGCCACAGGAGGACAUGUUUCUGCAGAUGUAGUUGCCCUAGAAACAGAAGAGUAUGGGGGUGUGAAUGUCUUCUCUUUUGGGGGCAAACACUAUGUCCUUUUCUUUUUCUAGAUACAGUUAAUUCCUG